GGCUAGCUAGCUUCUGAUUUACUGUAGGACAGCUAGCUACCAUUCUGAUUUACUGUAGGCUGGCUAGCUACCAUUCUGAUUUACUGUAGACUGGCUAGCUACCAUUCUGAUUUACUGUAGGCUAGCUAGCUUCUGAUUUACUGUAGGCUAGCUAGCUACCAUUCUGAUUUACUGUAGAAAACAAUGUUCUAUUGUGAGGAUAGCUGUAGAUUAGCCUGGCUACAGAUCUGUUCGACUGUACACUUCGCCCUAAUAAAAAAAACUAUUUUCUACUGUGAGUAAAAAGGAUAGCUGUUUAAGUCUCUCUAGUCUGCUUCAGAAAAUCCUACAACUAUUUAUUAACGUUCUCCUUGCAUCCACCAAACCCUGAUUCGUCCGUCGGGCUGACAAAUGGUGAAGCACGAAACAUCACUCUUAAUUAAGAAAGCGUUUCCACUGCUCCAGAGUCCAAUGGGGGCUUUACACCACUUCAGCCGACGCUUGUCAUUGCGCAUGGUGAUCUUAGGCUUGUGUGCGGCUGCUCGGCCAUGGAAACCCAAGCUCUUGACGAACAGUUCUUGUGCUGAUGUUGCUUCCAGAGGCAGUUUGGAACUCUGUAGCGAGUGUUGCAACCGAGGACAGACUAUUUUUACGCACUUCAGCACUCUGUGAGCUUGUGUGGCCAACCACUUCAGCACUCUGUGAGCCUGUGUGGCCAACCACUUCAGCACUCUGUGAGCUUGUGUGGCCAACCACUUCAGCACUCUGUGAGCUUGUGUGGCCAACCACUUCAGCACUCUGUGAGCUUGUGUGGCCAACCACUUCGCAGCUGAGUCGUUUUUCUUCUUCUCCUAGCCGUUUCCACUUCACAGUAACAGCACUUACAGUUGACCGGCUGUAGCAAUUUGACCAACUGACUUGUUGGAAAGGUGGCAUCAUGACGGUGCCACGUUGAAAGUCACUGAGCUCUUCAGUACGGGCCAUUCUACUGCCAAUGUUUGUCUAUGGAGAUUGCAUGGCUGUGUGCUGGAUUUUGUACACCUGUCUGCAACGGGUGUGGCUGAAAUAGCCGAAUCCAUACAUUUUUUUAAGGGGUAUCCACAUACUUUCAUAAAUAUAGUGUACAUGAAUCUAGAACUCCAGAUUCCAGCUGUUUUUAAAUCACUAGUAUGUAAAAUGGUGUUUCUUAA
ensembl:lncRNA